rnacentral:rRNA from 1 species
GAUGAACGCUAGCUACAGGCUUAACACAUGCAAGUCGAGGGGAAACGACAUCGAAAGCUUGCUUUUGAUGGGCGUCGACCGGCGCACGGGUGAGUAACGCGUAUCCAACCUGCCCAUCACUUGGGAAUAACCUUGCGAAAGUAAGACUAAUGCCCAAUGACAUUUAUAGAAGGCAUCCGAAAUGAAUUAAAGAUUUAUCGGUGAUGGAUGGGGAUGCGUCUGACUAGCUUGUUGGCGGGGUAACGGCCCACCAAGCCUACGAUCAGUAGGGGUUCUGAGAGGAAGGUCCCCCCACAUUGGAACUGAGACACGGUCCAAACUCCUACGGGAGGCAGCAGUGAGGAAUAUUGGUCAAUGGACGGAAGUCUGAACCAGCCAAGUAGCGUGCAGGACGACGGCCCUAUGGGUUGUAAACUGCUUUUANGUGGGAAUAAAGUGAGGGACGUGUCCCUUUUUGAGGUACCACAUGAAUAAGGACCGGCUAAUUCCGUGCCAGCAGCCGCG